rnacentral:rRNA from 1 species
CCUACGGGAGACAGCAGUAGGGAAUAUUGCUCAAUGGGGGAAACCCUGAAGCAGCAACGCCGCGUGGAGGAUGACGGUUUUAGGAUUGUAAACUCCUUUUGUUAGAGAAGAUUAUGACGGUAUCUAACGAAUAAGCACCGGCCAACCCCGUGCCAGGAGCCGGGGUAAUACGGAGGGUGCAAGCGUUACUCGGAAUCACUGGGCGGAAAGAGUGCGUAGGCGGGGUAAUAAGUCAGAUGUGAAAUCCUGUAGCUUAACUACAGAACUGCAUUUGAAACUGUUACUCUGGAGUGUAGGAGAGGUAGGUGGAAUUCUUGGUGUAGGGGUAAAAUCCGUAGAGAUCAAGAGGAAUACUCGUGGCGAAGGCGACCUGCUGGAACAUUACUGACGCUGAUGCACGAAAGCGUGGGGAGCAAACAGGAUUAGAUACCCUGGUAGUC